UACGCCAACUGAUCAAACGUAGAUAGCCCAGUUAAGUUAAUUAAUAUAUUUUGUUACGGAUGGAAAGCGUGUGAUGAGGCUACAUAGCAGGACAGGCCUCCAUGUCCAAGCUAGCUUUGUCACCUACUCCACCACACAUUCUGCAGUAGGAAAAUGGGUGUGCAUACAUACAAAACGCCCGCAGAGGUUGUUUCUGUGGUUAUACGCGCCUACAAAUCUCACUCUUGUGUGCUUCUGCUCGCCCGCGCGGUUUACUGCUGCCAUAUUGAGGAAAAUGACAGCAGCUAGGGGAUGGCGAUCGUCAAUUUGUCAUGGCCUGUGUGGAAUGCUGGAUGGAUGGUUAGGUGUCGUGUUGCUCACAUUGCCACUGUUCAAGACAUUCCACGCAGCUCUGCGCUUCCUCCCUUGUUGCUUUCCUGUUAUCUCACUCGAUCAAUCAGUGGAAAGCAAUGAUAUAUACAUCCAAGGUUGUCCUCUC